rnacentral:rRNA from 1 species
GGGAACUACGAGCCAAGCUUAAAACCCAAAGGACUUGACGGUACCCCAUAUCCCCCUAGAGGAGCCUGUCCUAUAAUCGAUAACCCCCGUUUAACCUCACCCCUUCUAGUAAUUCAGCCUGUAUACCUCCGUCGUCAGCUUACCGCAUGAGUGCUAGUGAGCUCAAUGUUAUUUCAACUAAACGUCAGGUCAAGGUGCAGCAUAUGAAGAGGAAAGAGGAUGGGCUACACUUUCUAUCUUAGACCACACGAAAGACUAAUUAUGAAACCUAGUCGGAAG